rnacentral:lncRNA from 1 species
AUCCUGUGAUCUUUUAAACCAUGAUUUAUGACGAGAUGUUCUGUCUUUAAACUGGAAAGGCCCGGGGAAUCGGCAUGACAUAAGCGCCUUCCUCUCGAGGCGGAGGUCGGAAGACAGAAGGAGAGGAGGAAGGAGGAAGAGAGAGAGACGGGGCUCGAUAAGCGCCGCUAUCAGAACGCACCCAAACACAGCGUCCGGCUGUUCUCCCUUGUGCAGGCGGAGG